rnacentral:tRNA from 1 species
GCGGGAAUAGCUCAGUUGGUAGUCCGGCAGUUGCCGGAUCCUAAGCUGAGGGUCGCGAGUUCGAGUCUCGUUUCCCGCUCUA